GUGCCUAAUACAUGCAAGUCGAGCGAGCGGAACUAACAGAUUUACUUCGGUAAUGACGUUAGGAAAGCGAGCGGCGGAUGGGUGAGUAACACGUGGGGAACCUGCCCCAUAGUCUGGGAUACCACUUGGAAACAGGUGCUAAUACCGGAUAAGAAAGCAGAUCGCAUGAUCAGCUUUUAAAAGGCGGCGUAAGCUGUCGCUAUGGGAUGGCCCCGCGGUGCAUUAGCUAGUUGGUAAGGUAAAGGCUUACCAAGGCGAUGAUGCAUAGCCGAGUUGAGAGACUGAUCGGCCACAUUGGGACUGAGACACGGCCCAAACUCCUACGGGAGGCAGCAGUAGGGAAUCUUCCACAAUGGACGCAAGUCUGAUGGAGCAACGCCGCGUGAGUGAAGAAGGUUUUCGGAUCGUAAAGCUCUGUUGUUGGUGAAGGAGGAUAGAGGUAGUAACUGGCCUUUAUUUGACGGUAAUCAACCAGAAAGUCACGGCUAACUACGUGCCAGCAGCCGCGGUAAUACGUAGGUGGCAAGCGUUGUCCGGAUUUAUUGGGCGUAAAGCGAGCGCAGGCGGAAGAAUAAGUCUGAUGUGAAAGCCCUCGGCUUAACCGAGGAACUGCAUCGGAAACUGUUUUUCUUGAGUGCAGAAGAGGAGAGUGGAACUCCAUGUGUAGCGGUGGAAUGCGUAGAUAUAUGGAAGAACACCAGUGGCGAAGGCGGCUCUCUGGUCUGCAACUGACGCUGAGGCUCGAAAGCAUGGGUAGCGAACAGGAUUAGAUACCCUGGUAGUCCAUGCCGUAAACGAUGAGUGCUAAGUGUUGGGAGGUUUCCGCCUCUCAGUGCUGCAGCUAACGCAUUAAGCACUCCGCCUGGGGAGUACGACCGCAAGGUUGAAACUCAAAGGAGUUGACGGGGGCCCGCACAAGCGGUGGAGCAUGUGGUUUAAUUCGAAGCAACGCGAAGAACCUUACCAGGUCUUGACAUCUAGUGUCAUUUGUAGAGAUACAAAGUUCCCUUCGGGGACGCUAAGACAGGUGGUGCAUGGCUGUCGUCAGCUCGUGUCGUGAGAUGUUGGGUUAAGUCCCGCAACGAGCGCAACCCUUGUUAUUAGUUGCCAGCAUUAAGUUGGGCACUCUAAUGAGACUGCCGGUGACAAACCGGAGGAAGGUGGGGAUGACGUCAAGUCAUCAUGCCCCUUAUGACCUGGGCUACACACGUGCUACAAUGGGCAGUACAACGAGAAGCGAGCCUGCGAAGGCAAGCGAAUCUCUGAAAGCUGUUCUCAGUUCGGACUGCAGUCUGCAACUCGACUGCACGAAGCUGGAAUCGCUAGUAAUCGCGGAUCAGCACGCCGCGGUGAAUACGUUCCCGGGCCUUGUACACACCGCCCGUCACACCAUGGGAGUCUGCAAUGCCCAAAGCCGGUGGCCUAACCUUCGGGAAGGAGCCGUCUAAGGCAGGACAGAUGACUGGGGUGAAGUCGU
rnacentral:rRNA from 1 species